GGAUUCAACGCGGACAACUCACGGGGCGACGGCAGAAUGAAGGUCAGGCUGACGACUUUACUGGACUAGCCGAGAGGUAGUGCAUGGCCGCCGUCAGCUCGUACCGUGAAGCGUCCUGUCAAGUCAGGCAACGAGCGAGACCCUCACCACUAGUUGCCAACGGAUCCCACUGGGAUGCCGAGCACUCUAGGGGGACCGCUGUCGCUAAGGCAGAGGAAGGAGAGGGCAACGGUAGGUCCGUAUGCUCCGAAUCCCCCGGGCUACACGCGGGCUACAAUGCGUGGGGCAGAGGGAUGCAACCCCGAAAGGGGAAGCCAAACCCUAAACCUACGCUCAGUUCGGAUCGAGGGCUGAAACUCGCCCUCGUGAAGUUGGAAUCCCUAGUAAUUGCGUGCCAACAUCGCGCGGUGAAUACGUCCCUGCUCCUUGCACACACCGCCCGUCAAGCCACUCGAGUGAGAUUUGGAUGAGGCUUGUCGGAAAUUGGGCAAGUCGAAUCCGGGUUUUGCAAGAGGGGCUAAGUCGUAACAAGGUAACC
rnacentral:rRNA from 1 species